UACGAAGGGGGCUAGCGUUGCUCGGAAUCACUGGGCGUAAAGCGCACGUAGGCGGCUUUUUAAGUCAGAGGUGAAAUCCUGGAGCUCAACUCCAGAACUGCCUUUGAUACUGGAGAGCUCGAGUCCGGAAGAGGUGAGUGGAACUGCGAGUGUAGAGGUGAAAUUCGUAGAUAUUCGCAAGAACACCAGUGGCGAAGGCGGCUCACUGGUCCGGUACUGACGCUGAGGUGCGAAAGCGUGGGGAGCAAACAGG
rnacentral:rRNA from 1 species